CCUACGGGAGGCAGCAGUAGGGAAUAUUGCUCAAUGGGGGAAACCCUGAAGCAGCAACGCCGCGUGGAGGAUGAAGGUUUUCGGAUUGUAAACUCCUUUUGUUAGAGAAGAUAAUGACGGUAUCUAACGAAUAAGCCCCGGCUAACUCCGUGCCAGCAGCCGCGGUAAUACGGAGGGGGCAAGCGUUACCCGGAAUCACUGGGCGUAAAGAGAGCGUAGGAGGGAUAGCAAGUCAGAUGGUAAAGGCUAGGGCUUAACCAUAGAACUGCUUUUGAAACUGUUAUUCUAGAGUACGGGAGAGGUAAGUGGAAUUCUUGGUGUAGGGGUAAAAUGCGUAGAGAUCAAGAGGAAGA
rnacentral:rRNA from 1 species